UACGAAGGGGGCUAGCGUUGUUCGGAUUUACUGGGCGUAAAGCGCACGUAGGCGGAUCUUUAAGUCAGGGGUGAAAUCCCGAGGCUCAACCUCGGAACUGCCUUUGAUACUGGUUAUCUUGAGUCCGGGAGAGGUGAGUGGAACUGCGAGUGUAGAGGUGAAAUUCGUAGAUAUUCGCAAGAACACCAGUGGCGAAGGCGGCUCACUGGCCCGGUACUGACGCUGAGGUGCGAAAGCGUGGGGAGCAAACAGG
rnacentral:rRNA from 1 species